rnacentral:lncRNA from 1 species
CCGGAGGCGGCCCAGGCGGGGGUCUCCCCCGGGGCCUGGGGCGGGCCGAAGAUGUCCAGGCCUGGCCGGAGCCGCCUCCUGAUUGACGAGGCCCGCAUGGGAGUGCGGACGUGCAGCACAGAUUUGCGGGUCUCCUGGGCCUCUUGGGCGGUGAUCAGCGCGGACCUUGGGCCAACCGGGGAAGCAGGCCGGAGCACUACCCCCCACCCCCAUUUUAGAACAUCCUUCUGAGGGCUUCGCUGACCUCGGCUUGAACUCCUUCAGAGCCGGAGAGAUCACUCCUUCCACCACCGAGGGAGAGGAGGCAAAAUGAAUUUGCCAGCUUUGAAUUCAUUCUCAAGGCUCCGCUAGUCUCACAGCCAGUGAACUCAGUCUGGAAUUCCUGAAAGCUCAGAAAACUGCUGCUUAGGUGGCAGCUGAGCAUCCCUGGAGAGGGUGGGUGGUAUGAAAGCACUUCCAGACCUCUAGGGACACCAGGGAGUCAUGGUCCCAGCACAUUGCUGUGUGAUUGAGCCCCUCCUCAGCCUGUGGGUGGCCUAAGUUCACAGGGAGGUAAUGGGGUAGAUUGGAUACCUCUGGGGUCUUGGAAGAAGCUAUGACUUAUUUACUGUCUACUAUGUGCUGAAGCCACUUGCUCAGAGCCGCACAGCAAGCCCACCACCCUGAACCUCCAGAUUACCAACUCAGCAUUGUGUCCUGACAGUGUCAUCAUAGAUGGUCAACACCGUCACCUGGGCAGCACUGAAGCCCAGAGCGGGAGAGACUGGCUCAAGACCAUGGUGAUGUUCCUUUUCCUGUCACCAACACACACAGCACACAGAGAAGUUUGUUUCUGUUGCUUUAAAAAAGUUUCCUUCUGGGGAGGAGGGCAAGGGGUUGUUU